rnacentral:rRNA from 1 species
UACGUAGGGCGCGAGCGUUGUCCGGAAUUAUUGGGCGUAAAGAGCUCGUAGGCGGCCUGUUGCGUCCGCUGUGAAAUCCCAGGGCUCAACCCUGGGCGUGCAGUGGAUACGGGCAGGCUCGAGUUCGGUAGGGGAGACGUGGAAUUCCUGGUGUAGCGGUGAAAUGCGCAGAUAUCAGGAGGAACACCGGUGGCGAAGGCGGGUCUCUGGGCCGAUACUGACGCUGAGGAGCGAAAGCGUGGGGAGCGAACAGG